ACCCUGCCCUGCCGUGCGCUCAACAGCCAGAUGCUGGGCCCAGACAAGCGCUCUUCCGCUAGUGUGCCGGGAUGAGCGGGGGCUGGACUUCUAGAAAGGGGUCUGCGGGCGCAGGAGCUGGGGUCCGCGGUCUGGGGCCGGAACCGGUGAACCUCAGGGGGCCCAUUGCACAUCCAGGUGUGAAACUGCGGUGUGGCCUCCAGCCAACACAAGCCAUCAGCCCCAUGCUCAGCUCCCAGCAGGCAGAGCGUUCAGAAGCGCCAGCGCCAUCAUCUUGGGAGCCUGCAGUCCACACACCGCUGACCUUACCUACUUCCUCUUUCCAGGUCGUAGAUUACAGACUCUCCUCUGGGAAAUUGCCCCCAGAUCUAACAGGAGUACAAGAAGCUGGGUAGAUUGGAAAACAGCACCGAAUUCCCCUGGAACUGAGGACGGAAGCCUUCCCAGUCCUGCAGCCACCUGCAGACUCUCACAAGCACGGUGCUCCCGGGAGAAGACCUUGCUACCCCAGGCCCAAGGCAGUCGAGAGAAAACGGGAAGCCCUGAAGGUUUUUCACCCCGGGGGUGAGAGUGUAUGAUCGAAGAUAUAUUUGAGGGUAAUUGUACAGAUAGUCCCAACUUAGCAUUGUUCAACUUUAUGAUGGUAUGAAAGUGAUGACAUUCAGUAGAAAUUGUACUUCAAGUGCCAAUACAAUCAGUUUUUCACUUUU
rnacentral:lncRNA from 1 species